rnacentral:tRNA from 1 species
GGGGCAGGUAGCUCAGUUGGUAGAGCACAGGAUUGAAAAUCCUGGUGUCGGCGGUUCGAUUCCGCCCCUUUCCCAC